rnacentral:lncRNA from 1 species
UCUGGAAAAAAUUAUUUAUUUUUGGAAAAAAAAAAUUCAUCAUCUAUUUAUCACAAUUACUAUUACAAUUAUGAUCUGAAUUUAAAAUUAUACACUUUACUUUUUAUUUUUAAUAAAGAGCUUCAUCUUUUCUGUUGAGAUGUGCUCCAAUCUUUUAUGCCAUGUCUGAAAAUCCAUGGAGGGUGUAUGCAAAAUCAGGAAGAACAUCUUAAAGAGUCUUUAGGAAAUAUAGUCCAUUUUGGGAUCUACCCUGUCCAAUCACUCUCCCUGAUUUGUUUUCCUGAAAUCACAUUAAUUUUAUUGAAAAUGAUACUCAAAUUUGAAUCCAAGGUUAAUUUAUUUACUGAAAUUAAAUUAACAUUGAAUUGUGGGAUAUAUAAAACAUUUCUAAGCAUAAUUUCUUUGAAAAUUGUGAUAUCGUGCAUAUUUCACCACUUGGUAUGGUGACAAAAUGCUCAAAGUCUUCUUUAGGAGUUUUAUCAAAUAGUUGGAGAUUCCCAGUCAUAUGUUGGGAUGCUCCAGUGUCUAUUAUCCAAGCAUUUUUAUAAUUUGACAAAUAAAAAGAAUAAUUCAUACCAGAGGAUUUGUUCAAAAAAUCCUUGAGCAUUAGCAACUCCACACUGGUCAGAUUUUGCGUAGUUGUGGAAGUAGAUGCUUGGUUUGCAUUUUGGAAUCUUCUUUCUUUUUAAAUUUUUUCUUGUCACUUGGAAAUCUUAUUAUGUGAAAACAUUGUUCCCUUGUGUGUCCAAAAAAAUUACAGUUAUCACAGUAGUAUCUAGUAUCUAAUUUUUUUCUUCCAUUCUUACUAUACAUACCCUUUUUUCUUGGCUCUUCUUUCUUUUCUUGAUUUUCAAUUUUCUUAAAAAAUAGGACAGUAGCUUCUUCACCUAUUCCAUCCUUAAAAUUGUUUUUAUGUUUUUUCUUUUGAAUUAUUAGGCAAAACACUUGAUUCAUUGAUGGGAGCUCAGGGUAUGCUAGUAUUUGACUCCUAAGAGUCAUAAAUUCAUCAUUCAAUCAUAAUAAGAAUCGAUGAAUUCUAUCUUUCUCCAAUUUCUUAUUGUAAAUUGAAGCAUAUUUUACAGAAUUUGCAUUCAGGUUUUUCUAUCUCAAUAAAUUGAUCCCAUAGUGUUUUAAACUUAUCAAAAAAAACUGAGACAGAUUCAUGUGAUUGAUUUAAGGUAUUUAUUUCAUACCUUAAUUGUUUCGUUCUUGAUGCAUUCUUUUGUUUGUACCUUUCUUGGAGAUCUACCCAAGCACCAUAGGUUGUCUCUGUGUGGAUGAGUGUUGAGGCAAUUUAGGGGCUCACACUGUUAAUUAUCUAGAAUAACACCAAUCCGCUGAGCAUCUCCCAAUUCUCAUAAUCCUCCCAUGUUUCUUCUAUGGGCUUCUUGAUUUUUCCAUUAAUGAUGUCUUCUUUCUUGAGACGAGUGAGAGUUUCAUUGAAUUUGCCCAAGAUACGUAAUUUUCUUCUCCAGUGAGUUUUUUUUGAACCAUCUGAGCUCCAGGAUGAUCCCUUGCAGUAAAAAAAUAUGGGGAUUUUCUAAAAUAUUUACUGAACUUCUUUUCUUGUUUCUUUACCAUUUCUUUCUUUCUUUUGUUUUUAGAAACUUGGUAGUAUUUUUCAUAAUCUUCAGCACUUGAAUAUGAAGAAUUUGUUUCCAUGUGAUCUUUUUCUUCGCUGCUUGAAUCUGUCAUUGCAGUUGCGGAAGCUGAAGGAAACUCGACAUUGACAUCUUCGCCAACUGAUACCAUAUUAUUUCUGAUGCCGUCGUCGUUUGCAGCGUAUUGGGUUCAAUCGUUCACCAGAAUGCCAAGGAGGCCGACGUGAGCAGAAGAGGGCAGAAAUUAGGUAUUCUCGACUUAACUAUCGAGUACCAACUGUCUGCUUAGGUGGACUGUUUAGAAGUUAAACAGGAUUAACUUCAAUGUAAUUCAAUUGAAUGAUAUUAAUGUUUACAAGGGUUUUAUUUAUAAUACAUAGACUCAUUAACUCUAACAGAAUUUGUAUAACUAAUAUUAUCAUAAUACUAUAUUACUUAUACAAAUUAUUUUAUUUGAGUCCACGGAUAGUUGGCCCAUUAGUUUCUUUAUUGAAACUUUUGCAACUUGCUCCCCAAGCUUUCUUGAUAUGGUGCGUGUGUGUCUUGAGACAUUUAUUUGCAUAAUAAAACUUCACGGACAAUGACAUAUAGGUCCUGUUAUAUAAUUACAUAUUUAAACUGUAUUUACAGAGUUUAUUUUACAGUGUAUUAACACUGUAAUUCCUUUACUACCCCUCAAGCGUUGGAAUAUAUAUUUAAUAUUCCAAGUUUGGAGUGAAAUGAUGUAAUUUCCUUUUCCCAAGUGCUUUUGUGAGUGAAUCAGCAAGUUGGAACUUAGUUCCAAUUUGUUUUAAUGAUAUUUUUUUUUGAUUUAUCAUUUCUCUUAUGAAACGACAAUCUACUUCUAUGUGUUUUGUCCUCUCAUGGAAGUUAAUUUAUAUUUAUUCGGAUAUCUGGAUAUCCGAAUUCGAAAUUUUUAAACGAAUUCGGAUUUUAACGACAAAUUUUUCGGAUAUUCGAAUCCGUCCGAAUAAAAUUUAGAUAUUGAUAACACUGUAUCUAUACUAUAGUGACAAGAUUAUACAAACUCUCCCCCUUCUCAGUCGACCCCUAGGGGUAUUUAUACAUUUUCCUAGUGGGCUGGGCCUUUAUCGGGUUAUACUUGUUCCAGCCUGCGGGUAGACCCGACGCACCUCGAUUGAUAGUGAUCCGCCCCGGGCCAACCCGACCCGUCCGGGUCUCGUCUGGUUUCUUUGUCAAGUUGUGGGCCUGUUGCUGUGGGCUUUUGGGGACAGGCCUGACAUGAUGGACCAGGGGUACCAUCAGAUAUCAAUUUAGGUAUCCGAAUUCAGAUAGUCAUAUUCGAAUACGGAUUCUGGUAUAUCAUCUACAGUCUUAAUUACAAAACCACAUAAGAGCCGUAAAAAUGUGAAGGAAAUAUCAUCAACAAUCUUCAAAAAAGUAUAAUAGAGAAAUAAAGAUACUGAAAAUAACGGCCCGAAAGGUAAAGGAAUUAACAAGAAAAACCGAUGUUAAAACAGUAAAAGAAUUAACUGUAAAAACGAACUCACUGAACUAAGGAUUAAAAUAAGAUUAAUGAUAAGUUUAUGAGUAAUCGAUAAUUGUCUAUUAAGUUUUCCUAUACAGGCAAUUUACCUGACACUCAUUUAAAGAAUAUCGAAGGAGUUAAAGGGGUUAAAUGCAAUAGUUUAAAUAAACAAUUGGACCAAUAUCGAAUGGGCCAGAGCAAAUAGUGGAUGGGCUAAUAGACAAUGGGCCAAAGUUUAUUUAAUUAAAGAUUGGUUGUAAACUUAUGUUAUAAAAGGAGUUUGUAAUAAAAAGUUUUAAUUAUUUGAAAGUUAACGAUCUUGUUAAUAUCAACUAACUUUUAAUGAUCCUCCUCCUUUCCCUCUACUGCCGGCGAUACUUCCGGUGACUGCUCAAGGCUCAAGGAGAAGAUAUAGUAACUCCGGUGGCUCAAAGUUAAUAAAAGGAACGGGGGUUAAGAAAAAAAAACUAAUCCUACCAAAAGAAAAUCUACAAAUGACGUUUGAAAAUUGAAUUUCUUGUCAUUUUAUUGAAUUCUUAUAUUUCAGAUCUUUUUAAAGUAAAUCUAAAUUUUAUGGACGACGGUAAAGAAUAUGAAAAUUAAAGAAGAAUAUCUUCUUCAUGAAUCUUCUAAUGAUGUGGAAGGUUCCAAGACCAGUCCGAAGAUGAUGAUGAAGACGAGUGUGAUCGACGAAUAUGAAUGUCAAAAUAUGGAGAUAUCUGAUGAGACCGAGAAUGUGUUAUUAAUUUGAGAAAAACAAUAUACCUUAGAAAAUAUAGAUUUUUUCUAAUUAUUUUCUGAUUUUUAUCUCAUUUAAAAUCAGAGCUAAAUUAAUACUAUCAACAAAAAUUCAAAAUUUCCUGAUAUUUAAAAAAAAAUUUACAGUACAUUUACAGUUGACGAUGAAAUACGAAGAAGAUGAUGAUGAUAAUAUGUUUAAUGUGAUCUAGAACGUCUAAUUAUUUUAGGAGAAGGAUGUACCAUAGGAAAUAUAGAUGGUUAUACAGAUUUGAUUACAGGGAAACACAAACAAAAAUCAGGUGUAUUAAAAUUGGGGGAAUACCGAUUUUUUUUAAAAAAAAGCACGGAACCAAUCGAUUUGUUCACUGAUUACCUGAAAUAAGGACGACGUAUAGAACAGAUAGUGGGGAGUUGAAAUUCCACGGUUAUCGAAAACCAGAUUUCGACGAUUGUUGAAUGGAAUGCGGCGAGGAACAAGCCACAACGAAGAUGAGAAGAAGAAGACUACGAUUUUGGAAGUCCGAUUGGAUGAAAACACAAAUUUCAUUGAUUCCGUGCGUCGUCGUACGGCUGCUAAAGGAGGGAGUAUGGUCGAAAACUGCGGUCCCUAUAUCUUGCAGUAGGUAGUAUGGUCGGGCGUCAACUUCAACCUCGGAAUUUAGGGUGGAAGACGGACGACUGUGAGUGGCCUAGAGACGAGAACGGUGAGAUUGGCUGACUGCAG